GGUGCUGGUUCGUAUUCAGCUUGUUUCAUAAAUGAGCCGAACACGAACUGACUCAUUAAAGUCUCAAGUCGAAAAAUUUAGCUCGUGUUCGACUUGUUUAUUAACGAGCCGAACACGAGCUGGCUCACAAAUAAUAAAUUAAAAGAACUAGAAAAAAUAUAUAUAGGAAAUAAAUUUUUUAGAUCUUAUCCAUUAGAUUUUGAUGUAAUUGUUGAAACUUUUCAUAUAAAUUAGCUUUUUCAUAAUUGAGUUGCACUUAAUAUUUAGGUUGAGCUAAAAAUUAAAUGAUAAAAAUUUGUAUUAAUUAGAUAUUUAUAAUUAUUUAUUUAUAUAUAAAAUAUAUGUAUUCGAACUGUUAUCGAGCCGAACACGAAAAAACUGUCCCCAGCUCGUGUUCAGCUCGUUUAUUAAACGAUUUAAAAAAAAUUCAGCUCAUGUUCGGCUAAUUUCGAGCGAGCCGUAAACGUGCUAGCUUGCAAACAACGAGCUAGAUUAAUUGCCACCCCUAGUCCUAACCCUCGCAACCGCCAAGAAAUCUUUAACAAACAAUUUCUACUCAUCAGAACCCAUCUAAACAAAUACCUAUUUCAGAAACCUCAAAUCCUCCUCCUAAAUCAGUAUUUCUAAAAGAAACUAUUCAAAACCCAUGAAUUAAUCACCAAAUUAACCCAAACCUUACUUCUACUUCACGAAAGUCGUGUCGAGGCUCAGGAACAAUUCUCCGAGAGACCCCUCUUUGCUGGCCUAAGCUGGAAUUCUAGCUUCGGAGGGUGGUCUAAGGGAAACGUAGAGGUUAGGUUUUCUAGAAGUAGAAAGAGAGUAAGGAAGAAAGAAAGGAAGAAGAUGAAGAAGAGAUGAGAAGUUGGGGAUUUCGCAGUGCAUAAGUGGUGGAGGAAGCUACCUAUACAGGGUGAGAGGGUAUUUAUUAGGCGGUAAUAAUUUAUUUAAACCUCUCAAAAUAAAGAAAUUGCAAUAUACUGGAAACUAAGUCAGCGGCAGGUUUUGAGCACCCGGAAGCAUUUUUCUGAUCGAGCUCUCCAUCCAUAAGUUUCGGACGUCCACACCACUAUUGGAUUGAUUUCAGAUGCCCGAAGAACAUUUCGGAUGCCCGAAUAAUUAAUCGGGACAGCAAACUGAGUUCUUGAGUUGAGCACCCGGAAGAAGUUUUGGGCGUCCGAUACAUAGUCUGAAGGUUUAGGAUGCCCACAGGGCAGGGCAAUUUGGGCGCCCAAAACUAAGUCGGUUCACAGUCCCACUACGUCGGUUUCGUGCUCUGUAUAGGUUUUGGCCGCCCAAAGGUUAAUUAGUCUGGGCGUCUUGAAGUUCACUAAAUCUCAAGUUUCAGCAGACUAAGUUUUCGGACUCUGUUUUCACAUGCGUUUGGACUCAAACUCGAACCAACUUCAUAUAAUUUUGCCAGAACCUUACAAACAAUAUAGAAGAUGACUUCCUACUAGAACUUUUGAUAGGAGGUUAUGCCUGGUCUAUCGCCAGGUCAAAAGUUUCAAAAUCCCGCAAGAAAAAAAAUUCAAUUUAAGAAAAUUAAAUUUCAAUAAGAGGUUCGAGGGUUUAAUUAUUAUUAUAUGUAUAGUAUUCUCAUAUUGAGACGACACAGCUGGAAGACGAUGAAUCUUUCACCUCUUUCAAUAAACAUGAUAAAUGUAGGAGUGCGGCUAGGAUGCUUAUGGAAGCAUGGAGGGCUCCGUGCUUUUACUUUGUUUUCGAUGUUCGGACUUUCGAAUCAACGAUCGGCUCUGUUAGACUUGAUCUAGAAUAUUUGAAGUACCUAGAAAAUAAAUUUUACGAUUUUUCGAUAUCAUUUGCCUAGUGAUCGAAGUGGCUCAAAAUCAACGGCUGAAAAUAAAAAUCUUACAAAAUAUGAUGAUAUGAUAUUAAAAUUUUAGAUCAGAGUUAUUGAUCUUGUUUUAUAUGGUAUAAAAAAUUUUCCAUCAAAAUUUUAUAUGAUUUGGAUAUUUCUACACCGUUAAGCUUGCAACCGGCUUACCACGGCUGUUAAAAUUAUUGAUUUUGAGCCCCUUCGAUCACUAGGCAAAUGAUAUCGAAAAAUCGCAAAAUUUAUUUUCUAGGUACUUCAAAUACUCUAGAUCAACUCUAACGGAGCCGAUCGUCGAUUCGAAAGUCCGAACAACGAAAACGACUUGGAAGCACGGAGGCCUCCGUGCUUCCAUAAGCAUACUAGUACAACUCUAAAUGUAGUGAGCUAAUGACGGAACCAUCACUAUCAAGAUACUAAUCAUACUAGUAAACAAAUGUGAUGUAUCUAAAUUAUCCACAACUAAGAUAUGCGAGAUUGGAGUAAAUGAAGUUGAAAGAGAAAAAUCCAGGCACAACCACAACAACAACAACACAAGAUUUACGUGGUUCACCCAAACCGGGCUACAUCCACGGGCACGGAGAGAUCAAAUCCACUAUCAAAUAAGGAGAUUACAAGAUUUGGUUAGAGAUUACCACUCUAUUACAAUGGGCUUGCAAUCUUCUAAUUAGGAAAAAACCCUUUUUGCUACACCUUCAUCUAAGCACCUUUCGAAUUCGCGAAACCCGCUUCGAAAUGCCUCUUAGAAUUCUUCCAAUCAACCUUGGAAGCUUUUGAAUCAAGCAAGAAAAACAAGAGAGCUCUUUUUCAACCCUCUCUACACCUCUCUUUUUUAUCUCAAGAAAAGAAAAAUCUAGAGAACAAAAUAAAAUGAGAACUCCCCCUUUCUAAACCCAAAGAGAUUCUCUCUUAACACCACUUAGCCCAACAUACCAAAUGGAUCAAUUAAAGCCCAAACCAAUUACUAACUAGCCCAUUACAUAAGUUGUUGAACCAAACCCAAAAUAAAAUCAAUUAGGAUAAUAAGUAAAUUUGAUAUCACUAACCCAACAAUAAACGAUUCAAGAUCUUUCAAAUUUUCCCUGGUACUAUAGCAUUUAGUUGGUCGAAGUAGGAUUAGUUUGCAAAAUAAAUUUUUAUCAGGAUUAUUUGGCCAAAUAUAAAUUUUGUAAGAUUAUUUUGAAAAAAAAAUUUAAAAAAUAUGUUGUCACAAAAGGAUUAAUGGCUGCAAUUAGAACACAUGGAUGGGAAAAAAAAAAAAAAAAAAAGAAGAAAAGAAAGAGAAUUAACUUACACCAAAGAGAUUUAAAUGCUCCAAACUUUUGGAAAUUUGAAAGGAUAAAUAAAUUGAUAGCACAGAUAAGAACUAUAAAUGGUUGAUAUCUUCUGGUAAAAGAAAGAUUACAAUAGUAAAUGAAGUGCAGUAAUUAGUAACACUAUAUGGCACUCGGUGGUGCAAUUUCGAACCAAGCUUUUAAAAUUAUAUAUCUACUAUAAUAUUCAGAAAAAAUAUUAUAGUCCUUAUACUUACUCUCUCUUGCCUCUCUAUCUUAAAUCCUAGCUAGAAUUCUAGGGAAUUAAUUAAUUUUUUUGUUAUAGAAUUAUUAGGGAAUACCAGCUUUUGGAUUAAAAUUAAAUAUGUUGAAAAUUUAUUUGAUAUUAGUUAUACUUUAUCGACAACCCCAACAUACCCCUUUACGGAUUAGUUAUAAAAUAAAAGAAAAGUCUUUUCUCCAACAUAUCAAAUUAUAAAAAACUAGUGUUUUGAAAUGUAAAACAGAGGCAUUGAUACCAAACAAGGCCUUAGUUACAUGUUUUGAUUCGCCAACUCAGUUUUAAAUUUGAAAUAGUAACUUAUGUUUUAAAAUUUCAUUUUGAAGUUUAAUUAUUAAGUCUAAAUCCAAAUUUUUAAUUCAGUUGUAUGGUUUGAAUGGCCAACUCGGUUUUACAUUUUAGAUAAUGACUUAUAUAUGUUUUCAAAUUUCAUUUUGAAUUUUAAUUAUUAAGUCUAAAUCCAAGUUUGUAAUUUAAUUUUACAUUUUGAUUUUUAAGCUCGAAUUUAAAUUUAAAAUUAGAGGAGUUCUUCUCCACUUUUAAAUUUUUGAUGCGGUUCAUUCAUUUGUGUUCUAUGGCUUAGAAUAUUUAUUUAUUUAUUUAUUUUUAGUUGUGACCUAUAAUAGAAGGUCACUUUUAGAGAGGUAAUGAUUACCGGGUACCUAAAAAGAAAUAAUAGACCACACGCUUUAUUAAUGUCAUAUUUAACCACUUGAAUAGAAAAAGGAAAGCGAAAGAGAAGAGAGAUGUAUUAAUAAUACAGUGAGGUACAAUUACUUAAUUACUAUCAUAUUAAAAUAUCAAAUUAUUUCUUUUUAGGUACCCGGUAAUCAUUACCUCUCUAAAAGUGACCUUCUAUUAUAGGUCACAACUAAAAAUAAAUAAAUAAAUAAAUAUUCUAAGCCAUAGAACACAAAUGAAUGAACCGCAUCAAAAAUUUAAAAGUGGAGAAGAACUCCUCUAAUUUUAAAUUUAAAUUCGAGCUUAAAAAUCAAAAUGUAAAAUUAAAUUACAAACUUGGAUUUAGACUUAAUAAUUAAAAUUCAAAAUGAAAUUUGAAAACAUAUAUAAGUCAUUAUCUAAAAUGUAAAACCGAGUUGGCCAUUCAAACCAUACAACUGAAUUAAAAAUUUGGAUUUAGACUUAAUAAUUAAACUUCAAAAUGAAAUUUUAAAACAUAAGUUACUAUUUCAAAUUUAAAACUGAGUUGGCGAAUCAAAACAUGUAACUAAGGCCUUGUUUGGUAUCAAUGCCUCUGUUUUACAUUUCAAAACACUAGUUUUUUAUAAUUUGAUAUGUUGGAGAAAAGACUUUUCUUUUAUUUUAUAACUAAUCCGUAAAGGGGUAUGUUGGGGUUGUCGAUAAAGUAUAACUAAUAUCAAAUAAAUUUUCAACAUAUUUAAUUUUAAUCCAAAAGCUGGUAUUCCCUAAUAAUUCUAUAACAAAAAAAUUAAUUAAUUCCCUAGAAUUCUAGCUAGGAUUUAAGAUAGAGAGGCAAGAGAGAGUAAGUAUAAGGACUAUAAUAUUUUUUCUGAAUAUUAUAGUAGAUAUAUAAUUUUAAAAGCUUGGUUCGAAAUUGCACCACCGAGUGCCAUAUAGUGUUACUAAUUACUGCACUUCAUUUACUAUUGUAAUCUUUCUUUUACCAGAAGAUAUCAACCAUUUAUANAAAAAAUAGAUCCAGAAAAUAACUUAAUGCAAGAAAAGAAAAGAUAAGCGGAAAGAACACACCGAUAAUUACGUGGUUCGGCCAACGGCCUACGUCCACGGGCGAAGACGGAGCAAAUACUUUAUUAAUAUCGAAAAGGCGGAGUACAAGAAAAUCUCUCAAAAGACCAAAAUUUAAUUAGAUCCGAAAACGCGCAACAAGCAACUCCAAUUGCGGCUUCUCUCUCAACCCGUACGGACCAAAAAAUGGCCUUAAUUUGCCGGCGGCUUGGCUCUCUCUAAUACGCAGUGCACAAUAGCUUCAUCUCGGCUCGGGUCACGACACGCAAGAAUGCACGACACACCAUGGGUUGGGUUGACUUAAUUAAUUAAGCACCAGCAGAGUACCCUGAGCCGAGCACUAAGAGCAACCCCUUAAUUAAUUUGCUUGGCCCUUAAUUUGGUCGCCGCUCCUUUAAUUUGGCCGUAGUAUGUAUAUAUAAUACAUGUCUUCUAAUUAGAGUCUAAUUCUAAUUAGAUUAGAAUUACACUCCUAAUUAUAAUCCAUAUAUGCCAAAUUAAAUCUAAAUAAUAUCUAAUCCCAAUUAGAUUAGGAUUUAUCCUCAAUUUAGAUAACUACAAAUCUAAACCAAAUAUAACAUAGAUGUAUGUAGACUUCUCCAUAAAUAUUGAAGUAUCUGCGUUACCAUUUGGUAAUUGGCACUAGUAGGAGCAUGCAUAUACUGACAGGCGACAUUGACUGCGAGUGAGAGAUACAGGUGAAUAAGGAUGAGAUAUUGAAGAGUACUGACAAUACUUCGAUAGUGCGAGGGGUCACUAUAUGGUUGGUCUCCUCUCUUAAGUGGAGGCGGUUUGGAGGUCAUAGGGGUGGCAAUAGGCUUGCAUUGCUCCAUAGAAGCCCGAGUUAAGAUAUCAGAAGCGUAUUUUCAUUGCCAAAGAAAUAAACCAUUUGAAGAGCGGUGUAUUUAAAUCCCUAAGAAGAAAUGGAGAGGACCUAAAUCUUUCAUAGGAAAAACCUGACCAAGAGCAAAACCAAGUUGAUCUAAAAAUUGGUGCGAGUCACCUGUGAGGACAAUAUCAUCCACAUAGAGAAGUAGAAUAAUAGUGUGACCGUCGUGACGAUAGAUAAAUAAUGAUGGAUCGAAGAUACUACAAACGAACCCAUAACCGAUCAGGAAGUCACUGAAUUUGUCGAACCAUGCUCGAGGAGCUUUCUUGAGCCCAUGCAGUGCGCGCCGAAGUAAAUAGAUAUGAUUGGGAUAAGUCGAGUCACGAAAGGUAGGUAGUUGCUCCAUAUAAAUCGGUGCUGCGAGGUCGCCAUGUAAGAAAGCAUUUUUAAAAUCCAAUUGACGAAUUGGCCAAUGUCGAAUAGUGGCUAUAGUGAGUACAAUGCAAAUAGUACCCAGCUUUACAAUCGGACUGAAUGUUCAAGAAAGUCGACCCACUCCUCCUGAUGGAAGCCCUUGCCCACAAGACGGGCUUUAAGUCGAUCUAGUGACCCAUCCGCAUGGAAUUUCAUCUUGAAGACCCAUUUACAGUCGAUGACAUUCAUCGAGGGACACCCUGGAACAAGUUGCUAUGUUCUAUUCAUUGCAAGCGCGUCUAAUUCCUCACGCAUCGCAGCUGUCCACCCAGAAUGUUUAAGAGCCGAUUGGAUAGUGCGCGGUUCGAGAGGAAUUGGUGAGAGGGCAAGAUUGGCAUACUGCGGGUUGGGCUUGAAACUUCUAAUCUUGGAGUAGGUCACCAUAGGAUGGCACAGAGGGAGUGGCCACUUUUGGCACAGUUGGUGGGGCAUCGACUGGAGGCAUAGACGAAGAGCUUGGAGGAUCAGUAGGUUGCAAGUUUGCUGAAGAAGUAGUUGUAACCUCAUCAGAGAAUAAUCGAGCAACUUCUCUUUGGUCAGUUGAAUUAAAGAUAGGAGUAUGGCUAGAUUGAAUAGAGUUAGCAGACCCGAGAGUGGAGCCCCAAUGCAAGGGAUCCCCAAUAUAAGUAGUAGCGAUCUGAGAGGAAGUAGCAAAUGGAAAAUAAUGUUCCUAAAAAAUAACAUGUCGAGAAAUAUAGAUGUGACCGGUAGAUUGAUUUAGGCAGUGAUAACUGUUGUGUUUCUCACUGUGGUCUAAAAAGACACAGGGCAAUGAUCUUUUGUCAAGCUUAUUCAUCAUAUAAUUGCGAAGAUAUGGAAAGCAACAAGAUCCAAAAGUACGAAGAUGUGAAUAGUCGGGUUCCUUUUUAAAAAGAACUGAAUAUGAGCUUUUCUUGCCCAGUGCUGCAGACGAAAGCCGAUUGAUCAAAUAAUUAAUAGUAGUGAAAGCCUCUACCCAGUAGCAGCUGGGCAUCGAGCCCUCAAAUAGUGCAGCAAGCCCGAGUUCCACAAUGUGGCGAUGCUUCCUUUAGGCAACACUAUUUUGUUCUGGUGUGCUCGACCAUGAAAGUUGGUGUUGGAUGCCACAAUUGCCAAGAUGAGUUAGAAAGACAUUACUAAUAAAUUCAUCCCCGUCAUUCGAUUGAAAAAUUUUAAUUUUCUUUCAAAUUGAUUUUCAACCAAUUUUUGGAAGGUGAGAAAAAUAUCCAAAAAAUAUGAUUUACACUUCAAUGGAUAUAAGCAACAGUAAUGAGAAAAAUCAUCAAUAAAUACUACGUAAUAUCGAAAAUGUUGCACGAAAGAUACCGGCGCAGGUUUCCAAAUAUCACAAUAUAAUUUAUUCAAAGAAAAAGAGUAUCGAGAAUCAAAUACAUAGAAUGGUAAUUUUGAACUUUUGCUGAUCUAACAGCUUGUGCACGAAGUCCCAGAUGACUUAAUUACUGAAUAAUGCUAGGGGCCUGGCGUGACUCGAACUCAGAACCUCUUACUCUGAUAUCAUGUGAAACAACCGUUGUACUCUAAAAGCUUAAGCUAUUAGAGAACAGUGUUUAUAUAUUUUUAUAUUUAACACUACCCCUCAUUUCAUGGGCCUUGUAAAAAGUCUCGAGCCGAGACGUGAGGGGAAGUGUUAAAUAUAAAAAUAUAUAAACACCGUUCUUUAACAGCUUAAACUUUUAGAGUACAACGGUUGUUUCACAUAGUAUCAAAGCAGGAGGUCCUGAGUUCGAGUCAUGCCAAGCUAGGAGCAUUAUUAAUUUCUUCCUAUUUAAUUCAAGCACACGUCAUUGGCCGACUAAAAAAAAGUCUCGAGCCCUUUAGAGUACAACGGUUGUUUCACAGUGGGCCUCACCAUGCCAGAAAAAAAAGGUGGAAUUAUUUCAAGGUCCGAGUAUGGACUUUAUCUAUACCUAUCUUGAACCCAACCCGAAUUCUUAUUGAUUUUAUGUUAUAUAAAAUAUAUAAUGUUUGAUUUUAUAUUUGAAUUUAUAUUUAAAAAAUUUAGACUUAAUAUAAUAUGUUUUGAAAUAUAGAUAAGAGAAAUUAUUGUUUCAGGUUUGGGUUUCCGAGUUUGGUUUUGAGUUAUGAAUUUUUGGUCAGUUUCGGGUUUGGAUAUGGAUUUUUAAAAUCCAUCAGAUUCAGAUACAGAUUUUGGAAUUGAUAGUUGGAUUCGGAUUCGGAUUUUUGAAAAAUCUACCCCAAAUCUGGCAUGCUAACAUUUUUAACCACUGGUUCCUUACCAAUACUGAUUUUUUUACCACUAAUCUUAACUGUUUUAAUUUUUAUGUUUAAAAUUACGUCUACAAUAUUUAUUAUCUCUAACUGCUAAGAUGUCAUUAUGCUUAAAACGUGUAUUAUCUCUAAUAGUUCAAAACUGUUUUCAACCGUAUUCAGUUCAAAGGGUUGAACCGAGCUGCAUGAUAGACUAGGUUACUGUCAGAUGAGUCAAACUAAUCAGUUCAAUCUGGGAUUUAUAUAGUUGAUACUAACACAACUAAAUGAAUAAUAAAGCUAGGAAGCUAAGUGCUAACUAAAAAGUAAGGAACUAAAAUGUCAAAAAUCAACUAAAGGCUAAAAAAUUUUAAAGGUAAAAAUCAAAACCAGUUUAAUUUAAAUCAAAUCAAUUAAACUGAUCAAAUAGAUAAAAUAUAUAAAUAGUCUAGAUUUGUUCCAUAUAGAUUUAUUUAAUUUAUCGACAGUACUAGUUUUCUUUACUCUAUUAAAUUAAACUCUAUGGUGGAGAUUUAUUAUAAGUUUAAAAUUUAAAUUAUACAAUAUAGAUUUAUUCAAUCGUAAGUUUAAAUUGCACCAUAUUUUUUAGAUUUAUAAGUGGUUUUCAUAUACCCUUUUAGAUUCUAAACUUUAAAUUUAUUUUCAGCUUAAAUUUUAAAUUAUAAUACAGUCUCAUUAUUUUAAAAGAUCAAUUUUUACUAUUAAAAUUUGAAUUAAUUAGCCUGUAGAAUUCUAUUCUAAGAUAAAUUUGAAUUAUAUCCUAUCUUCCUAUUAAAUAUAAUAUUUACUCACAUUUUAAACUUUCUUAAAUAGUGAUACAAAAUACUAUGUGCAAAUUAGAGAAAUUUUAAAAUUCCUUAAACAUAUUAAAUAUGUUGAAUUUAUAUAUUUACCCACUUCAAAUUUUUUUUAAUAAUGAUACAAAAUUAAUGUUGAAAUUAGAUGAAUUCGAAAAUUCCUUAACAUAUUAAAUAUGUUGAAUUUGAAUAUUUAUUCACAUUCAAAACACCGGCCUAAAAUGUUUAAACUCAGUUAUUAUUAUUAGUAUCAAAGUUCGAUGUGGGAUUAUUAGGGUGUGACAGACUCCCUCCGUGUCAAAGCCUAUCACCUUGACUCUGGCUCAGCUCAGUUAUUAUUACUAAUAUCUAAGUCUCUUAUAUACCCAAUCGCAUCUUCAUUCCUAUCCGAUGUGGGAUUAUUGGGUACUACAACAAAAAUGGUCCAUAGCGACACUUUUAAAUAUCGGUAAAAGUAAAAAAAAGUGCCGCUGGCUAAAUUACCGAUACUUUUAAAAAGUGUUGCUAUAUGUGGGGUUGCUAGGUAUAUAGUGACAGUUAAAGAGUGUCGCUAUAAUUUAAAAAGAGUGUUGUUAAUUUACCAACACUUAUUUAAGCAUUUAGCAACCGUCGGAGCUCUACCUCGUUGGCUGCGGUGGCGGAGGAGGACGAGAGGGAAGGCCUCUUCGUCUAGGAUUUCAGUGGAUUGAGUGAGGGGAGAAGGGGAAAUGGUAAUCGAUUUUUCUUUUUUUUUUUUUCUUUUCUGUUUGUAAUCGGGCAGAAUGGGCUAUGUGGGGUGGGUUGAGUAGAGCAACAUUUUAUUUUUUGUUGGAUUGGGCUUUAUAUUUAGGCAUCAGUAGAUUUUUUUUAAAGUUUUGGCAUAAAUGGGGCACUUACAGAAAAGUGUCCCAAACAUAUGUCCCUAUAACCUAAUUCUGUUGUAGUGGGUGUGACACUAAUGCCUAAAUUUGCGUAAGGGAUAUCAAUCAAAAUUUUGUUUCAAUUUGCGAUAUUUAAUUACGAAAAUAUACUCGACAUGAAGUUACCUUUUAACCUGCUAUAGGUUAAAACACUUUAUCGAUCAAUAGUAAAGAUUUUUUUUUAUUAUUUGUAAAAUUAAGUACCGAAUCAUUUCUCUUAAUAUAAUAGUUUGAAUUUUAAAAUUAAAUUUUAUUUGAAAUGUUGUUUUUAGGCUAAGUGAAAUUUUCUCUUUCUCAACCCAACAAUAAAAAAAUGGAUAGAAAUCAAUUAUUUCUUUUCCGAUUACUAUUGCAAACCAAACAGGCAAAGAGAUUUGACCACUCCGUUUGCAAUCUUUUAUUCCUAUUUAAAUUUUGAUUUUUUUUAAAAAAAAAUAGGAAUAAACUUACAUAUAAGCAUUAAAAUAGUCAUUUCGUAAAAAUAAAAAAAAGAAAAUAAAAGGAGUAUGAUAUAUGUAAAAGUUCGUAAACAUCUGAUCUUUUCUUUGAUCGUGCCCUAAUUAACUUAUAGCAUUUCAAUUUUUUUGCUUUUCUUCUCCCGAAUGUAGUCAAGUACGUGGAUUAGAACUGCUACUCAAUAACUAUUCGUGUUGUUUCUAUUAUCAACUUUUAUUUAUGUAUGGAAAGAACUUAAAGGUGAUCAGUAAAUCUAUGAGUACAUUUUGCCAUAACUCCCACUAAAUUUUACGGAUUCACUCAAAAUUUGAUAAAACAUUUCUUUUAUGGAAAUAAUUCAUACAAAUUGGAGAUGAAAUAGGAAAGAUUAGAAUUCCUACAUAAUUAACCAAUGGGAUUAAGAUACAGAAAAGGCAACUUGUGGAACAGAAUUAAGUGCAUACAUGCAUGGUAUUUAGAUACAUGAAAGAUAUAUAUUCCCUUUUUGUAUGUAAAUAGAAAGAAUUACAUGCUAUACAUGCAUGAUAAAUAAGGUAUGUAGCCCACAACAUACAUGCAUACAACUCAGUUACCAUCUUAUUAAUUAAUAAGACAAAAUCCUUCGUCCUUUUAAGCAGUUUGGAUGAAUGCGAGUAAAAAUCGGCCAUUGGUAUUGUCAAAUAUUAUCUAGAGUAUUAAAAGUGUCUAAAAAAUUAAAUUUUCUGGCUUUUAAUAUUAUCAGGUAGUAUAUCAAAAGACGACAAAAAUGAAGAGUUAGAAACGAACAACAUUGUGAAAAUGUAAGUUAGAGGUUGGUUAUCUAUGAAACCUCCAUAAUUUAGAAUAAUUCAAGAUAUAAGAUAUAACACGAUUAAAUUUCUUAAUUCAGCUAUAGCAUUUGAAUGAUAGAUAGGUUUAAGAAGUUAAGAGAGUUAAGCGUGUUAGAACUAGAGUAGUUCUAGAAUAAGUGACUUUGAGACGUGGUAUCAGAGUCAAUUAUUAGCCAGAAAUGUGAGAUGGGCCAAAGAUGGGUGACCCCCGGAGAAGCAGGGCGUCAAAGUUAAUAUUGAACCCAAUCACCAAAUAGAAAUAUGAGAUGAGCCACGGCUGAACCAGGAUUGAGAUUAUACAGGAAGCAGAGCGAGGCUCCUCAGUGGAUGACAUUGUGGGUGGAGUGCAACUCCCCAUAAGGUAGGCUAAAGGCUAGCGAUACGAGUCUUACAUUGUCUAGUGGUUGUGAAUACGCUUGAGCCUGAUAAAAACAUCAGGAUUUAAAGAGGAGAAGAAUGUAACACCUCUAGAAUUUAGAAUAGUCAAAGAUAUGAGAUAUAAUAGGUCUAAAUUAAUCUUUUAACUCGGCUAUAGCAUAUUGAGUGGCGGUUAAUUAGACCCAAGAGGUUAAGAGAGUUUAGCAUCUUAGAAUUAGGAUAAUUCUAAGAUGGGUGACUCCUUGGUGGUUAGACCCAACAGCUUACGUACCUAGGCUAUAAAGAAAAACAAAAAAAAUCAAAUUUAAGACCUUUGAUGAUGGCGUGUAUGAUUUUCAAAAAUCACCAAAUUCAAUUGUUAGAUAUUUCAAAUUUUUUAGAUUAUGUACGAUGGUACUGUAAUCAUUGAAAGUAAAUAGUGCCAUCUAUUUCCAUGUCAUUAUCAAUAAUAGGGCAUCAGAAUAAACAAUCCACAUGGUUAAAUAUAAUUUAAGUUGUUGGAAAUUCCAAGAAUCUGAAAUUUAUGAUUUUCAUAAUAUUUGCUUAGUGAUCAAAUAGUUUUAUAUUCAUACUAUAUUAGUUAUUAAAUAUUAUAAGUUUUUAAACCCCUUGAAUGAUAGCAAAAAAAUAUUGAAAAAUUAUAAAUUAUAAAUUUAAAAAAUUUAAAUAUUUUAAAUCAUAUUUAAUAAUGCCAAUUGUCGAUUCGGAUGUUCCAUUAAUUUAUAAAAACGGUGUAAAAGUAAAUGACAACAUUAUAAAGAUGGCGAUUAAUUUAAUUUACAUGGUGAUUUAUUUUUGUGACCAUCCAACUAAUUAAAAUAUGGAGAAUAUAUUACACGAUGUAAUAUUAAUUAUCCUCUUGGAUUCCGAGCCAGCUGAAUACCCACUAAUUAAUCCUACUCUUUAAUCAGUCGAGUCGGAGUCAAAGUUAUAAUAUUUAUUUAUGUAUAUAUAAGACAUAUACGUUAUUUAAUUCCACAAAUCCAAGGAGAAGACACAUUUAUUUGUACCUAUAUAUAAGGAAAUUUGGGUUCUUAAACUCUUACUUCUCCGCAUAUAUUAUUUCGUUCGUUUUAUCUCAGGUGAGUUGCGUAAGUAUCUCUUACUACUCUCCGUGUAUAUAUAGCUAUAUAUAUAUACCAAAUCAUGCAUGUAAAUCUCUGAUUUCUUAUUCGUACUUCGUUUUUUGUGUUUUUCGUCGAUCGUACUGUGCGUGUUCGUCAUAAAGACGUACUCUGCGCGUUUGCCAUACAUACGAUGAUGAGUCCUGGCUUCAGGUGGUGGCUAUUCGCGGCCGCGGCGAUCGCUCUUUUUCUGCUUGGCCUCUACUUGAAUCGUUACGACGUGCGAGGUCGUUUUCUUUUCUUUUUUUUUAAUUUUUGUUUUCAUUACAAUAAUAUUAUUAUUAAUACUUGAGCCCGUUAUCAUUAAAUUUUUUUUUUUAUUGCAGGUCCUCAUCUGCACCUUGUAUCCACACCGAAAGAACAUGAUGAUAAUUCUCGAGCGUACUCUUAUUAUCGUCGCAAGCUUGUUGAAGAAGGUACCGCGCAUGGCCCUUCCAAUUCCCGCUCAUCUAAAUCCUGAUCCAACGGUUUAGAUCGCUUUUGUUAGAAAUAAUAAUCACAUAUUAAUUAAAUAUAUACCAAAAUAUAUAAUGUGGAGGGGUUAAUUCGAGCCCUUUAGCAACUUUUUUUUGUAUACAGCUCGUACGUACAGUGAUUAUCAUAUUUGAGAUAAAACAUAUAUGUCAGACCCUCAACGUAGGAUAAAUAUUACAAUAAUUAAAAAAAAUUUUACUUACUCGCGGAUAGCCAUCUAACUUUUAAAAAUUCAUCUUUUCCACGCAGUUCACUGCGUAAAUUUUUAUUUUAACAAUUUAAAAUGUCUAACAUUAACCAAAUAAUUAAAAAUAAUAUAUGUUAGUAACAUAGAAAAUUGUUUUUACAUCGAACUCAAGAUGUCUUACAAUAUGGAAGUACCCUAUAUUAUCAACCUCGCUAGCUAGGUCUAUGUUCUCAUGUUCAAGUGGCCGUUCAUCCUACCACUAUAUUUCACAACCUAUAUAUGUUCAAUAUGACAGUAGAUUCAAUAUUCAAUCAUAUUCUUUUUUACUCUAGUUGUCCAUACCUAGGAUUCAUAAUUCAUGACAUCAAUUUCUAGCAUUUGAUUUUAAAAAUUAAAUGUGAUUAUUUGAUCAGUUUUAUCCAUGCAAGUAUUAAUAUUUGGCGUGAGAAAGACUCAUCUCGAUCAUUCGCAUUCUUUAUUAUUGUUGGGAAUCCGGUACUCGUCCCGAUACCGGAUCUUGUGAAUCCGCAACCUGCUCCGAUACCGACUGCUGUGGAUCCAGUACCGAUUGUUGGGAUUCAGCAAUGGAAGCGUCAAAUCGGAUUUUUACCAUAAAGUCGUCUCCUCAGCAAAAGCUGAUAUAAUCAUAAAAGAGAAAAAUAUGCAGGUAAAAUAAGAUUCAUUAAAUAAGAGAAUAUUACACCUUCUCUUCUGCACAGAGUAGCUAUGACCCGAGCCCUCUUUCUGAAUCUCUCCUACCCUUCUCUCGUCUUCUAUAAAAUCCACAAAGAAGACCUCUCCACGUGCACCCGUGCACCCGUGCACCCGUGCACAAGAUGCACUCAAAGACAUUGGAUGUUCUCUCUCUCUCUCUCUUUUUCUCUCUCUGGUACGGCCCACCCAAUACUCCAGCCGUCCUUACCCCAAAAGCAACACACCAAGAGCUAUUUAUAAAGCUCCAUCAAAACGUACCCCAAUCCAAAUAUAUUUAGAAUUUCUACUCCAAUAAAUAUUUAAAUCAUAAUUGAUCUAUCUCCAAUAGAUUUAAAUAUUUAUCCUAAUCUAAUUAGAUCAUACUCUAAUUAAUAUUUAAAUUUUAAUUUAUCUCCAAGAUAAUUAAAUAUUAAUUCUAAUCCAAAUAGGAUUCAACUACAAAUCUAACCAAAUCCUAACAAUCUCCACCUUAGUUGGAUUUGUAAUCUUCAACCGCUACGUCGAGCUCACCAUGCAAGCUCCACCUUGAGCUUGUCUUCUCUGCUUGAUGUCGCCGCAUCUGUCGCUUCGCCUCGAGCGACUGCACCUCCGCGAACUUUUGGAACCCAAACCGUCUUUGCUUCCGUUCUGACUGUGCUGCCGUUCAGAACGUACAAGUUCCCACGCUUGUUCGCCUCGCACACGACCCGAUCUCAUUUUCAGACUCUCAUAGCUCCACCUGAAGCUGAAAUAUCGCAACCCUUCGAGUCCAACGCGCCUAACGAGAUCAAAUUCCGCUUCAAUCCAGGAACGUGUCGCACACGUGUCGGCGUCCUCACAGCCCCAUCGUGCAUUCGGAUCUUCACCGUGCCGACUCCCAAAGUUUUGCACGCCGUUCUAUUCCUCAUUAAAGCCUUUCCACCCAUGAUCGCCUUAUAGGUUGCAAAAGACUCCUUCUCUGGGCAUACGUGAAAAGAACACGCCGAAUCGAGCACCCACGCUUCAUCCGAAAUUUUCGCACCUCCGGUCGCCGCAUACAGGACAUCAGAAUCCAUCAUCUCCAAUUCUGCCGCUUGUGCAAUCACUGAUACCGUCUCGUCCUGGUUCAUGACAGUUUUCUCCUUUUGUCGCUUUAACUCCUUCAGAUCAUUCUGAAGUUCCCGACAGUUGCGCUUGAUAUGCCCUUUCCUGUGACAGUAAAAGCACUCCACCUCGGAUAGUGGCUUCUUCUGUCGAUCUCCAGUCGCUGAUGUUGUCGCCUCCUUCUUCGCUCUCACCACCAACGCAGUAUCCUGUCUCUGCGUGCCGGACUCCUGAGUCAUCUUCCGCAUCUCGUUCGAGAGAAGCGUCGCUGUGACUGCCUCCACGCUUAUGGUCUCCUUGCCAUAAAGCAACGUGGUUACCAGAUACUCAUAUGUCGCCGGUAGCGAAGAUAAUAAAAUCAGCACCUUAUCUUCGUCAUCCAGAUUGACUCCGAUGCUGGUCAACUGGGCCACCACCUUGUUGAACAUGUUCAGAUGCUCAUGUAGGCUCGUCGGUUCCUGUAUCCGCAGCGUAAACAGUCGCUGCUUCAGAUACAAUCUGUUCGUCAAGGAUUUGGUCAUCUACAGAUCUUCUAAUUUCUUCCACAACUUUGCCGGUGUCGUCUCGCUGGCUACGUUGUAAAGAACCCCAUCUGCUAAUAAUAGAUGAAGCAUACUCAGCGCCUUCCGCUCCAUCUUCGUCCAUGCCGCAUCCGUGACCUCCGCUGGCUUCACCUUCUUCCCGUUCAACGUCUCGUCCAAUUAUUGCUGUACGAGGAUCGCUCGUACUUUAAUUUGCCACAGUCCGAAAUUGUUCUUGCCGUCGAACUUCUCGAUUUCGAAUUUCGUGGCCAUCUUCGUCGAUCUCUCCCUCGGAUCGAUAACCUUCAGCUCUGAUACCAAUUGUUGGGAAUCCGGUACUCGUCCCGGUACCGGAUCUUGUGAAUCCGCAACCUGCUCCGAUACCGACUGCUGUGGAUCCGGUACCGAUUGUUGGGAUUCCGGAACGGAAGCGUCAAAUCGGGUUUUUACUAUAAACCCGUCUCCUCAGCAAAAGCUGAUACAAUCAUAAAAGAGAAAAAUAUGCAGGUAAAAUAAGAUUCAUUAAAUAAGAGAGGAUUACACCUGACUUCUCUUCUGCACAGAGUAGCUACAACCCGAGCCCUCUUUCUGAAUCUCUCCUACCCUUCUCCCGUCUUCUAUAAAAUCCACAAAGAAGACCUCUCCGCGUGCACUCGUCCACAAGGUGCACUCAAAGACAUUGGAUGCUCUCUCUCUCUCUCUCUCUCUCUCUCUCUCUCUCUCUUUUUCUCUCUCUGGUACGGCCCACCCAAUACUCCAGCCGUCCUUACCCCAAAAGCAACAUAUCAAGAGCUAUUUAUAAAGCUCCAUCAAAACGUACCCCAAUCCUAAUAUAUUUAGGAUUUCUACUCCAAUAAAUAUUUAAAUCAUAAUUGAUCUAUCUCCAAUAGAUUUAAAUAUUUAUCCUAAUCUAAUUAAAUCAUACUCUAAUUAAUAUUUAAAUCUUAAUUUAUCUCCAAGAGAUUUAAAUAUUAAUUCUAAUCCAAAUAGAAUUCAACUACAAAUCUAACCAAAUCCUAACAAUUAUUUCUUAGCCAAUAGAACAACUUCACUAAGAGAUGCAUGCCACCAUUGUUAGAUGAUAUAUAGAUCUACAUGCUUUAUAUGUUAAUGUAUACAUCAUUAAUAGGAGAUGGCAACGGGAUAGAGCGGGUGAGUGCUAGCAUUCUGUUAAAUCCAAAUUAUCAAACUGAGUCGACCGAAAUUAUAAUAAUUUGUUGGGGAACAAACCGCAACGAACUUCGAUUGUGACUAAAUCUAACUAAUUUUGUGAUAAAAUUAAUAACAUUAACUUACCGAUAAUCGCUAAAUUCCAAAAAAAAUUGUAGAAGAAUAAUGACAAAUUAUUUGAUCUGGAAGCAUGCGGAGCACUGCCCUAAGGCGUAUUCCCGUCCUUCAUGCGGGAUUAACCGGAAACACCGUGUCACGCCCCGGAUUACACUUUCUCCAGGCGCGCCGACAAAUCCGCCGUAUACAAAGAAAUUUCCCCUGUAUACGAAGCGAUAGCUGUACCUGUAAAACAAACACUACUACGAACAGUAGUAGAGAGCUGCUAGAGAAAACAGAAGCUAAACAAACUGAGUUUCAUAUACAUAGUCCAGAUCCAAAAUACAAAGCUACUCGCAUCGGCGAGUUAAGUCCACUAUGUACAUAAACUCGAAACAAAACAUCUACCUGCAGUAGGGGCACCUCUAGCUCAGCACAUCGGGUAGGGCUCUAACUCGCGACGCCCUUGCCUCGAUCCUGAUCCGCGGACGGUGCAGCAGCCGGAACCUGUGGCUCUACAAAAACAUAAGUAACAACUGGGCGUGAGAACUACUGUAAAAACAAGUAGUCCUCAGUGGGUACCGCCCAAAACAACAUCGGUCCACCCCCCAAGUCUACAGAAGGGAGCAAGAGUAGUUAGAAAAGCAGGAAAUAAACUGUACCGCUAUCGAUCCCUACACUAUCAUGCUCUACACUAACCAACUGUAGGAAAUGUCAACUCUGACCCAAUCCAAUCGGGACUGUAAGCAUACCCGUCUCCGGGACUGUGAAUACACCCGUCCCUGCCCCGUUGCGACUAUCAAGCUCUAUCCACACUAACUGGUCCGUGGAGAGCAAGUCCAACUGGCAUGAGCGACACCAACGCNNNNNNNNNNNNNNNNNNNNNNNNNNNNNNNNNNNNNNNNNNNNNNNNNNNNNNNNNNNNNNNNNNNNNNNNNNNNNNNNNNNNNNNNNNNNNNNNNNNNNNNNNNNNNNNNNNNNNNNNNNNNNNNNNNNNNNNNNNNNNNNNNNNNNNNNNNNNNNNNNNNNNNNNNNNNNNNNNNNNNNNNNNNNNNNNNNNNNNNNNNNNNNNNNNNNNNNNNNNNNNNNNNNNNNNNNNNNNNNNNNNNNNNNNNNNNNNNNNNNNNNNNNNNNNNNNNNNNNNNNNNNNNNNNNNNNNNNNNNNNNNNNNNNNNNNNNNNNNNNNNNNNNNNNNNNNNNNNNNNNNNNNNNNNNNNNNNNNNNNNNNNNNNNNNNNNNNNNNNNNNNNNNNNNNNNNNNNNNNNNNNNNNNNNNNNNNNNNNNNNNNNNNNNNNNNNNNNNNNNNNNNNNNNNNNNNNNNNNNNNNNNNNNNNNNNNNNNNNNNNNNNNNNNNNNNNNNNNNNNNNNNNNNNNNNNNNNNNNNNNNNNNNNNNNNNNNNNNNNNNNNNNNNNNNNNNNNNNNNNNNNNNNNNNNNNNNNNNNNNNNNNNNNNNNNNNNNNNNNNNNNNNNNNNNNNNNNNNNNNNNNNNNNNNNNNNNNNNNNNNNNNNNNNNNNNNNNNNNNNNNNNNNNNNNNNNNNNNNNNNNNNNNNNNNNNNNNNNNNNNNNNNNNNNNNNNNNNNNNNNNNNNNNNNNNNNNNNNNNNNNNNNNNNNNNNNNNNNNNNNNNNNNNNNNNNNNNNNNNNNNNNNNNNNNNNNNNNNNNNNNNNNNNNNNNNNNNNNNNNNNNNNNNNNNNNNNNNNNNNNNNNNNNNNNNNNNNNNNNNNNNNNNNNNNNNNNNNNNNNNNNNNNNNNNNNNNNNNNNNNNNNNNNNNCAACGAACUUCGAUUGUGACUAAAUCUAACUAAUUUUGUGAUAAAAUUAAUAACAUUGACUUACCGAUAAUUGCUAAAUUCCAAAAAAAUUGUAAAAGAAUAAUGACAAAUUAUUUGAUCCGGAAGCGUGCGGAGCACUGCCCUAAGGCAUAUUCCCGUCCUUCGUGCGGGAUUAACCAGAAACACCGCCCCAAAAUACGACCAGAAUUCCUCCUCCUACGAGCACGAACGCGGAAGAGGUUGACGAAGCUUCUUUCAACACCCGGCGACGAAAGAAUUAAAUAAAUAAGAGAAAGUGAAAAGCAUAAAACCAAUUCUCAAAAUUUUACUGUAGUUCUUUCUAUACUGUUUUUGUAAAACCUUGUAAACA
rnacentral:lncRNA from 1 species